GAUAGUGGAUGUAAAUCCUGAGGUUAACUGAUACCUGCUUAUGAGAGAACCAUCUCAUCAAAUAUGUGAGCAAUCCAAUUCCAGAAUUCCACUUUCCCAGGACUACUCAUGGUACAAAUUACUGUAUUAGUCAGGGUUGUAGCAGGAAACAGAUGGCACAACCAAAAGUAAUGAUCAAAGAGGGUGUAGGCAAGAAUAACAAAAAUCUAUGGAGAUGGUGCAGCAGCUUAGGCUAAGCAAGAGCAAGAUCUUUCUACUUCUAAAAUGAAAAGGCAGGGAAAAGUUGUUCCUGAACCCAUGAGAUGUAUAUAUGGAGAAGGCUAUGUCAGAAGCUGUGAUGCUGAGGAACACAGCUAUUUCCAAGCCACUGCAGGGCAGGAAGGGAAUCAUCAUGACUUUGUACCAUUUCGUAUUGGAAUUUCUUCUGUGAAGCAAAAACAGUCCCAAAAUGAAGGAUCUUCAGGUGUCAUGGGAACGGCAGAUGACAUUAAAUCAUUAAAGUUGAGAAUAGUAAAUUGCCUCUGGGUUGGUUUGGAAUCAUCCUGAGAUGGAACCUAAAAGACAAAAGCAGAUUACCUUAUUGUUAUAUUGCAUGUUAAUCUUAUGAUCAAUUUCAUAAUCAUGAAAAUAAGUAAGACCAACUUACAUUUCAGUAGUAUUAAAUGACAACAUAGGAUUCCUAGAACAUUGUUUGUAUUUCUUAUAUUAGUGUUGCCAAUACAACAAAUCAAAAAAAAAUGAAAUAGAAAGGGAGUGUGAAGCUGAGAUUUAAAAACAGAAGGACGAGUAACCUGGGUCAGAACAUCUUCAGAUAACAGAUCCAUCGGGUUUCCUAAGAGCAACUGCAACAAAAUGGUGCUCAUCUAUUUUGCUUUCCUGAAAGAUAAAAGGUACCCAAGUCAGCAUAAAGUGAAAUUCAGUAAGGAUAAAUUUAAGAUAUGUUUAAAGAGGAAAAAUAUAAGACUAAGUAUCAGAAGAUUUACUAUGUCAAAGUUAUCGCAAGCCUAAUGGGCCUAUCAGAGAGCCUGUUCCAAGGAGAGACAGACACACAGAGAGGAGACAGAAAAGGUCAUUUGAAGGUGAAGGCAAAAAUUGGAGUGAUGCAACUGCAAGCCAAGGACUGCUAGGAAUGAGCAGAAACUAGGAAGAAGCAAGGAAGGAUUCUUUCUUAGAACCUUCAGAGAGACCAUGGCCCUGCUGACACCUUAACUUCCAGCCUUCCAGAACUUACAGAAGAGCUUUCGGUCACUUUAAGACACCAUGUUUGAGGUACUUUGUUAAGCAGCCUGAAGAAACUAAUAUACACAUGGAUACAAUUUAAAUUAUACAUAAGCACACACAUUCGCGUACCCUUCGGAGUUUUAAUUCUAUGUCCCUGCAGUCAAAUGUUCAAAUGCUGGUCCAUCACUUCUUAGCU
rnacentral:lncRNA from 1 species